GUCUAGUAUAAGCAUUAUACCGCGAAACUGCGAAUGGCUCAUUAAAUCAGUUAUCGUUUAUUUGAUAGUACCUUACUACAUGGAUAACCGUGGUAAUUCUAGAGCUAAUACAUGCUAAAAAUCCCGACUUCGGAAGGGAUGUAUUUAUUAGAUUAAAAACCAAUGCCCUUCGGGGCUCUCUGGUGAUUCAUAAUAACUUCUCGAAUCGCACGGCCUUGCGCCGGCGAUGGUUCAUUCAAAUUUCUGCCCUAUCAACUUUCGACGGCUGGGUCUUGGCCAGCCAUGGUGACAACGGGUAACGGAGGGUUAGGGCUCGACCCCGGAGAAGGAGCCUGAGAAACGGCUACUACAUCCAAGGAAGGCAGCAGGCGCGCAAAUUACCCAAUCCCGACUCGGGGAGGUAGUGACAAUAAAUACUGAUACAGGGCUCUUUUGGGUCUUGUAAUUGGAAUGAGUACAAUUUAAAUCCCUUAACGAGGAACAAUUGGAGGGCAAGUCUGGUGCCAGCAGCCGCGGUAAUUCCAGCUCCAAUAGCGUAUAUUAAAGUUGUUGCAGUUAAAAAGCUCGUAGUUGAACCUUGGGCCUGGCUGGCCGGUCCGCCUCACCGCGUGCACUGGUCCGGCCGGGCCUUUCCCUCUGGGGAACCGCAUGCCCUUCACUGGGUGUGUCGGGGAACCAGGACUUUUACUUUGAACAAAUUAGAUCGCUUAAAGAAGGCCUAUGCUCGAAUACAUUAGCAUGGAAUAAUAGAAUAGGACGUGUGGUUCUAUUUUGUUGGUUUCUAGGACCGCCGUAAUGAUUAAUAGGGACAGUCGGGGGCAUCAGUAUUCAAUUGUCAGAGGUGAAAUUCUUGGAUUUAUUGAAGACUAACUACUGCGAAAGCAUUUGCCAAGGAUGUUUUCAUUAAUCAGGAACGAAAGUUAUGGGAUCGAAGACGAUCAGAUACCG
rnacentral:rRNA from 1 species